GACGUAGGGCGCGAGCGUUGUCCGGAUUUAUUGGGCGUAAAGAGCUCGUAGGCGGCUUGUCGCGUCGUCCGUGAAAACCCACAGCUCAACUGUGGGCUUGCGGUCGAUACGGGCAGGUUAGAGUUCGGUAGGGGAGACUGGAAUUCCUGGUGUAGCGGUGAAAUGCGCGGAUAUCAGGAGGAACACCGGUGGCGAAGGCGGGUCUCUGGGCCGAUACUGACGCUGAGGAGCGAAAGCGUGGGGAGCGAACAGG
rnacentral:rRNA from 1 species